rnacentral:lncRNA from 1 species
GUGUGUGCAGAGCCGGGCGCCUGGGCGCCCGGGGCGUGUGCGGCGGGAGCGUCUGAGACCCCAGAGAUGGAGUCCUGGGUGCGUGGGGGCCCUGUGGUCCCUGAGUCUGGCCACGGGGUGUGGAAGGGAGUCCCCUGAGUCCUCCCAAGUGACCCGGCGGGCAUGCGUUUUGGGAUGGGGGUCGUUCCAGCCUCGAAGCAGACGGCGGCGCUGGGUGCCCUGGAGGAGGAGGCUCGGGGACGCAGGCGCUGCUGCAGACCACGAGCGCGGAGCUUGGGGAGGCGCAGGCGAAGCUGAUGGAGCAGGAGAGAGCCCUGCGGGAACUGCUGACCCAUGGCUUGGCUGAAGCCGGCAGGGACCGCGAGGACGUCAGCACCGAGCUGUACCGGGCGCUGGAGGCCGUGAGGCUGCAGAACAGUGAGGGUUCCUGUGAGCCGUGCCCUACGUCGUGGCUGCCCUUCGGGGGCUCCUGCUACUAUUUCUCUGUGCCGAAGACCACGUGGGCAGAGGCGCAGGGCCACUGCGCCGAUGCCAGCGCACAUCUGGCGAUGUAGGGGGCCUGGGGGAGCAGGACUUCCUGAGUCGUGACACUAGUGCCCGUGAAUACUGGAUCGGCCGCAGGGCCGUGCAACACCUGCGCAAGGUUCAGGGCUACUCGUGGGUGGACUGAGUCCCACUCAGCUUCAGGUAGGGGAAGGGCUCCUGGUGAAACCUGGGGGCCACAGGUUAGACUCUAGAGGACAUGUUUUGAGGCCGAGGUGGGCGGAUCACCUGAGGUCAGGAGUUCAAGACCAGCAUGGGAAACGUGGCGAAACCCCAUCUCUACUAAAAAUACAAAAAAUUAGCCGGGCGUGGUGGCACACGCCUGUAAUCCCAGCUAACCCUGGAUGCUGAGGCACGAGAAUCACUUGAACCCAGGAGGCAGAGGUUGCAGUGAGCCGAGAUUGCGCCACUGCACUCCAGCCUGGGAGACAGAGUUAGACUCCGUCUCAAAAAAAAAAAAAAAAAAAAAAAAAAAAAAAAAAAAAAAAAAAAAAAGUCAUGCUUUGGCCAGAUCUCAGGGACCCCUUGGCUGGGGCUCCAUGCUUAGGGAUGGGCAGGCUGGACCCUAGGAAGUGUCCUUGGGUUAAAUUCUGGGCGUUAGUAAGUUAUAUCCCAGGUGUAUACUCAGGUUAGACACUUGGGGUGUCUAGCGUAGACCCAGGCAAUAAACAGGCUAGAGCCUGGGAAGGAAGUGGGGGCCCCGGGUCCAUCCCUAGCUUAGAUUCCCAGCAUCACCCCCCGCCCGGCCAUUCAACCACUGCAGCCACUGGUUACAGGGGGAACGCAAUGAAUUUUGGGGGUGCGAGGCCUGUGUCAUGAUUCUGGGCAUGGGGCUGUGGAUAGACCCACCACGUGAUGAGAAGGCUGGCCGGAUCUGUCAGCAGAGGCACGGUGCUGACCCCGCCCGGUGCCCCAGAGCCGUGCCCAGUGCCCAAAGGGGUGCUGUGCACCAUCCCGGCUACUGGAACCCACUGCCAAGGAUUUUCUUUUCCCCAUCCACCACUGCUGAGAACCAAUCGGCCAGGCCCAGCCCUGUCCGGUGCCUGCACUCUGGGACCUCUGCUCUGACUUCAUGCAAACCUAACCUAACCUUCACUGGCUCCAAAAUCUCCAUUUCUGGAUCCCAGUGGUCUGACCCCACCUCUCCUCCUAGCCAAGGUCAGGCAACUGAGGAAUGGAGCUAUUUGGUUUUCCUGCACUUUCCCGCAAAGGGGAAAAUGGUACUUCCUGCAAAGCUCUCUUUGCAGCCUGGGGGAGCAUCAAUAAAGGUUUGAGAAAUGG